CUAACACAUGCAAGUCGAGCGGUAGCACAGAGAGCUUGCUCUCGGGUGACGAGCGGCGGACGGGUGAGUAAUGUCUGGGAAACUGCCUGAUGGAGGGGGAUAACUACUGGAAACGGUAGCUAAUACCGCAUAACGUCGCAAGACCAAAGAGGGGGACCUUCGGGCCUCUUGCCAUCAGAUGUGCCCAGAUGGGAUUAGCUAGUAGGUGGGGUAACGGCUCACCUAGGCGACGAUCCCUAGCUGGUCUGAGAGGAUGACCAGCCACACUGGAACUGAGACACGGUCCAGACUCCUACGGGAGGCAGCAGUGGGGAAUAUUGCACAAUGGGCGCAAGCCUGAUGCAGCCAUG
rnacentral:rRNA from 1 species